AUGUAUCGGCCCCAUGGCCAUGGGGAAGCCAGUCUAGGCUUAGCUCUAAGUCAUCGCUGUCUCCUGGGAUGCACAUGUCACAGACACUUGGCCCAGCUGGGGCGGGGCGGGGACAGGGAAGGGGGACUAGGAGGACCACCCCAACGGGGCAGGGAGGGGCACUUCCGUCUCGCGCACCCAAUUCUUGGCACCUGCCUAUUCCUUCAGGUCGUGAAUCUCAAAGAGGGCACUCAUAUGCUACAGCAUAAAAUUAUGUGCCUUCGUCCUGAGAUAGAGAAACUCUGUGGCUGACCUAAAGAGACUGAUUGGUCCCAUGGGUAAAUAUUUUUAUUUACCUUUUAAAUCUGUAGUGUACAUAUUCUUAAUAGAGUUUAAAAUUUGUUUUAAUUUUUACAUAUUUAAUCAUCAAUGUCUUUAGUUUUAAAUUGAUUAAUACCCAUGAACAUGCAGGAAUCUGGUGCCCUAGACUUGUACUAUUGCUUGCCUUAUAAUUACAUGUAGUUUCAAGGGUAUUUUUCAGGCAGUAGUUCAUGUAAACGAGGAGUAAUUCAUGGAAGAAAUGUUGAAGUAAUAAUUAGAUAUUGGAACAAGAGAGCAAGCUUUAAUUAUUGUUUAAUAUAUUUUUAUUGGUUUUUAAAAAUAUUCUAAAUAUCCCUAAGAAGGGCAAAUUCCACCUAUUAAAACAGUUGCUUUAAGAUAUAAUAAACUAAUGAUAUAAUUUAAAAAUGUGUUAUAUGAUUUAUAUUAUUUAGGUCUACAUCAUUUUCAAGUACAAGAAGAAGUGGGUAUGAAAAGUUUCAAGUUGUUUUAUUAGUCUUACUGGAAAUGUCACGACAACAUAUUUCAGGUAAAAUUAUGAAAGCUGCCAAUUUUGAUGUAAGAAGAAUUUGCUACUACAGAAUCCUUUUUCUUUCUGUUCUGUAACUCCCACAUACCCUGAAGAAGAAACUGCCUCAGUGACCUUGGCAACAGAAAGCUGUCCAUGGCUAUAGGUCAAGCUCAGCUUCAGCAUCACGUUUCCGUGCAAAGUGAGUGUAGUGAAAGAGCAGAACUUUUAUAAAAGGGUCAGAACGAAGACUGAAAGCAUCAUCAACAUGCAUCAGCUACAGACCCCCCUGUGGUAAUGGCUUUUAAACCAAGUUCUCACAGCUUCAGAGUUACUCUAAGAUGUUUUUGAAGCUCAGUGUGACAGGAGACAAUGGGUGAAGGUCAAAGCUUCCUAUUUCUGCUCAGAUUAAAGCAUUUCUUAAACCUGUGGAAUAUUUUGGGUUUCUGUGUAAGAAAAAGCUACAUGGCUUAAUAUUAUUUAAAUAUUCUUAUGUAAUAUAUUUCUGUUAAAAAUAACUUUAAGCACGUUACAAUAGCCAGAAUCUUCCUUUUACAUUUAAUAUUUCCAUAGAAAAGACAAUCAAAACCAUGCAAAUAAGAAGAGAGAUAUUCACUUGAACAUUAAGCUCUAAUAUAUAAAUGCUGGAACUAUAUAUAAAAAAUAUUGAUUGUUUCUGAG
rnacentral:lncRNA from 1 species